GACGAACGCUGGCGGCGUGCCUAACACAUGCAAGUCGAACGGGGUAGUUCCUUCGGGGACUACUUAGUGGCGAACGGGUGAGUAACGCGUGAGAAACCUGCCUUUCAGUGGGGGACAACAGUUGGAAACGACUGCUAAUACCGCAUAAUGUUUCGAGAGGGCAUCCUUUUGAAACCAAAGCUUUAUGUGCUGAAAGAUGGUCUCGCGUCUGAUUAGCUAGUUGGUGAGGUAACGGCUCACCAAGUCGACGAUCAGUAGCCGGUCUGAGAGGAUGGACGGCCACAUUGGGACUGAGAUACGGCCCAGACUCCUACGGGAGGCAGCAGUGGGGAAUAUUGGGCAAUGGGGGAAACCCUGACCCAGCAACGCCGCGUGAAGGAAGAAGGCCUUCGGGUUGGUAAACUUACUUUUACCUAGGGACGAACACAAUAGACGGUACCUGGAGAAAAAGACAACGGCUAACUACGUG
rnacentral:rRNA from 1 species